GACGAACGCUGGCGGCGUGCUUAACACAUGCAAGUCGAACGGAAAGGCCCUGCUUUUGUGGGGUGCUCGAGUGGCGAACGGGUGAGUAACACGUGAGUAACCUGCCCUUGACUUUGGGAUAACUUCAGGAAACUGGGGCUAAUACCGGAUAGGAGCUCCUGCUGCAUGGUGGGGGUUGGAAAGUUUCGGCGGUUGGGGAUGGACGCGCGGCUUAUCAGCUUGUUGGUGGGGUAGUGGCUUACCAAGGCUUUGACGGGUAGCCGGCCUGAGAGGGUGACCGGCCACAUUGGGACUGAGAUACGGCCCAGACUCCUACGGGAGGCAGCAGUGGGGAAUAUUGCACAAUGGGCGGAAGCCUGAUGCAGCAACGCCGCGUGCGGGAUGACGGCCUUCGGGUUGUAAACCGCUUUCGCCUGUGACGAAGCGUGAGCGACGGUAAUGGGUAAAGAAGCACCGGCUAACUACGUG
rnacentral:rRNA from 1 species